rnacentral:rRNA from 1 species
AUUGAACGCUGGCGGCAGGCCUAACACAUGCAAGUCGAACGAGUGGCGGACGGGUGAGUAAUGUCUGGGAAACUGCCUGAUGGAGGGGGAUAACUACUGGAAACGGUAGCUAAUACCGCAUACCAUCGGAUGUGCCCAGAUGGGAUUAGCUAGUAGGUGGGGUAAAGGCUCACCUAGGCGACGAUCCCUAGCUGGUCUGAGAGGAUGACCAGCCCAAUUGGAGCUGGGGAGCGGUCCCGAAUCCGACGGGAGGCAGGAGUGGGGAAUAUUGCACAAUGGGCGGAAGCCUGAUGCAGCCAUGCCGCGUGUAUGAAGAAGGCCUUCGGGUUGUAAAGUACUUUCAGCGGGGAAGCGUUACCCGCAGAAGAAGCAACGGCUAACUCCGUGCCAGCCGCCGCGGUAAUUC